ensembl:lncRNA
CGGGGGGAUGGGGCGCGGGGGGACCCCGGAGGGAGGCGGGUGCGGGGAACAAAGGGGGACCUGAGGCGGGGGUCCCGCCCCCCGCACGGCCCACCCCCGCCGCGCGGCCGCCCGUCCAGCUGUGGCUGCUCCCAGCUGCCGGGCUCCCCACAUCUGGCGGGUGCGCGCUCACUUCCUGUCGCCGCAGCUGCUUGGAGGGAGCCGUAUCCCCAGCCACCUCGCCUUUGGCCUGCAGACACCGCCGCAGACCCUGGCCUGCUCUCCGUGCUCAAGCCUGGCACCUUCCAGCCGUCCUCCAGAAAGGCCUGUGUCAUCCCAUCACAUGUGCCCUCCACCGUCCACUAAACAAAGUUCCUCCCUGGUCCCCACCUCGGCCACAAGGCCCCAGGUGUGGUCAGAUCGCCACUUCUCUCCAACCUGACUUUCACACUCGCCUGCUUGACUUGCGAGCAUCCUUCAAAUCCUAAGCGUCACCUCCUCCAGGAAGCCUUCCUUGCCUUCCACAUGACCCUCUGACUUGAGACUCCCCGGGAACCUGCACUCGUCUGCCUCCCCACUCAGACACUGCACGGACUGACUUGAUCAUUUGAGUCAAAUGAACAUUUCUUAAACGACACAAAGGUGACCCCUUGCCAGGCAGCAGGUCACUUCCCUGACAGAGGCCAGGUGGGGGCAUGUGCUGCCCACUCCACCCUGGUGCUGGUACCCACUCUGUUCCCCUCCCCACAGGGUCUGGGGCCCUGGGCGGCCCUUCGUGCAGCCUUCUGAGGGCUCCCAUGGGCAGCUUGGUGGGGACCUUCAUGGGGUCCUGGACAGUCCAAAGGGAGGGAGGUGAUGCUGGCUCCUGGGGAACCCUCUCCCUGGCCUCGGAGAGCCUGGCAGUCUGGGAGGGGGCCUGGCACAGCCUCUGGAGGGCACGGCCCUCCGUGGACAACCCCCAAGGAGCCAUGGGGCCCCUACCGCACCCUUACACCUCCUGGCCACCUCCAGCUGGACUGUCACCCCCACGCUGGAGACUCCCACAGACAGGACCGCCACCAGGAGGGGGCAUGUCUGGCUGGGAGGGGCCCGGGAGCCUAAGUCACCCUGACUGGGUUCAAGCUUGGUGCUCUGCCUUCUCUGGCAAAGAAUUUUUCCUUUCUGGGACUCAGUUUCCCCAUCUGUAAAAUAGGAAUUCAUACCAGGGACCCAUGCGAGGGCUAUUGUGAACCUGAAAUGAGUCGAUAUACACAGGCACGUAGGCGGUAGAACAGCCUGAAACACGGAACGUGCUCCUAAGGGUGAGCUCCUCUGACUGCGGGGCGCGCGCGGGACGGCGAAAGCCAAAAUCCAGCCCCACAGCUCUCCGGACGCCCCCACCCCAGGCCGGCUCCCCAAGCCCCUCUCGGACAAUGGUUUCGGCCCCUCGGGGCGCCACUCUGGCCCAACUCCUCAGGGGGUCCUGUCGCCGCUCGGCGAGCACCCUCGGCCAGCCCCUGACCCUCGCGCGCGCCCCCGGAGCAUCAGGGGUGCCGGCUGGCUUGGGGCACACGUCGUCCGCCCUCCCGCCCCCACUGCACCGCACGCUCGUCUUCGCGCCCGCCGGGACUGCGGGGUCCCCAAGCCGGGUUGGGCCGUGGGGCGCGGGGCCGCGCGCGCGCCCAGCUGGCCGGAGGCUCGAACCCGCGGCCCCGCGCGGCCGGGGCGGCCCCCGCGGCGUUUGCCGGGCGACGCGCUGUUUUUGUUGGCGGGGCGGGCGGGCGCGGUGACUCACCGCGGCGUGAUGCGGGCGGGCGCGGCGCCCG